rnacentral:rRNA from 1 species
GUCGAACGGGCCUGGUAGCAAUAUCAGGUCAGUGGCGUAAGGGUGAGUAAGGCGACGGCAACCAACCCCAUGGUUGGGCAUAGCCGCGGGAAACUGCGGGUAAUUCCCAGCGAUGUUCGUGCCGGGCAUCCGGCGUGAACCAAAGUUUCGGCGCCGUGGGACGGGCCGUCGUGGUAUUAGGUAGUUGGCGGGGUAAUGGCCCACCAAGCCUCUGAUGCCUACCGGGCGUGCGAGCGUGGCCCGGCACACUGGGACUGAGACACUGCCCAGACUCCUACGGGAGGCUGCAGUCGAGAAUCUUCGGCAAUGGGCGCAAGCCUGACCGAGCGACGCCGCGUGGAGGAUGAAGGCCUUCGGGUUGUAAACUCCUGUCGAGGGGGAGGAAGGCGCAAGCUUGACCUAUCCCUGGAGGAAGCACGGGCUAAGUUCGUGCCAGCAGCCGCGGUAAGACGAACCGUGCGAACGUUAUUCGGAAUCACUGGGCUUAAAGCGCGUGUAGGCGGAUGGGGACGUCGGUUGCUGAAAUCCCCCGGCUCAACCGGGGAACGGGCACCGAAACGCCCCGUCUGGAGGGACGUAGGGGGACCUGGAACUUCCGGUGGAGCGGUGAAAUGCGUUGAGAUCGGAAGGAACGCCCGUGGCGAAAGCGAGGUCCUGGACGUUUUCUGACGCUGAGACGCGAAAGCUAGGGUAGCGAACGGGAUUAGAUACCCCGGUAGUCCUAGCUGU